rnacentral:rRNA from 1 species
UACGAAGGGGGCGAGCGUUGUUCGGAUUUACUGGGCGUAAAGCGCACGUAGGCGGAUCUUUAAGUCAGAGGUGAAAUCCCAAGGCUCAACCUUGGAACUGCCUUUGAUACUGGGGAUCUUGAGUCCGGGAGAGGUGAGUGGAACUGCGAGUGUAGAGGUGAAAUUCGUAGAUAUUCGCAAGAACACCAGUGGCGAAGGCGGCUCACUGGCCCGGUACUGACGCUGAGGUGCGAAAGCGUGGGGAGCAAACAGG